CUUUCUGUGGAAUGGACACAGAGAGGGUUAAAAAAAGUUCGAUGAGAGGUCAGAGGAAAAGGAUUCGACAGCCUGAAGAUGAGCCCGCAGUUCCAAGUGGCCUGGAGGAGAAAAUUUGGCACUUUAUGAAAACCAUCAGGGAAUCAGGGAGACAUAACCCAACCAAGACAGAGACACAGAGAGGGUCAGGUGGGGAGGCCAGAGGACUGGCAGAGAAGAAAAGAGACACAUAUUGUCAGACACAUCCACACACGGAAAGAGGGCACCUCUGGGAGGGUAGUGGAUUAGAGAGGAGAAGAAGCCAGGUGUGUGGGGGAAGCGGAAAAAAAGGGAGCAGGGAAGGAGGCUGUCUCCGAAGAGACACAACCCCAAAAAGGGCUGCAACUGGACCAGCGCAUUACAGGGGCAGUGAGCUUGGCCGUGCAUGCAAAUGA
rnacentral:lncRNA from 1 species